rnacentral:rRNA from 1 species
AGAAUCAACGCUGGCGGCGUGCCUAACACAUGCAAGUCGCACGAGAAAGGGGCUUCGGCUCUGAGUAAAGUGGCGCACGGGUGAGUAACACGUGAAUAAUCUACCUCCGAGUGGGGAAUAACUGAGAGAAAUCUUAGCUAAUACCGCAUAACACUUACGAGUCAAAGCAGCAAUGCGCUUGGAGAGGAGUUCGCGGCCGAUUAGUUAGUUGGCGGGGUAAUGGCCCACCAAGACGAUGAUCGGUAUCCGGCCUGAGAGGGCGCACGGACACACUGGAACUGAAACACGGUCCAGACUCCUACGGGAGGCAGCAGUGGGGAAUUUUGCGCAAUGGGGGAAACCCUGACGCAGCAACGCCGCGUGGAGGAUGAAGGUCCUCUGGAUUGUAACUUCUUUUAUUUGGGAAGAACCCCGAUUUCUAUUGGGGUUGACGGUACCAGAUGAAUAAGCACCGGCUAACUCCGCGCCAGCAGCCGC